GAUGAACGCUGGCGGCGUGCCUAAUACAUGCAAGUCGAGCGAACAGACGAGGAGCUUGCUCCUCUGACGUUAGCGGCGGACGGGUGAGUAACACGUGGAUAACCUACCUAUAAGACUGGGAUAACUUCGGGAAACCGGAGCUAUUACCGGAUAAUAUAUUGAACCGCAUGGUUCAAUAGUGAAAGACGGUUUUGCUGUCACUUAUAGAUGGAUCCGCGCCGCAGUAGCUAGUUGGUAAGGUAACGGCUUACCAAGGCAACGAUGCGUAGCCGACCUGAGAGGGUGAUCGGCCACACUGGAACUGAGACACGGUCCAGACUCCUACGAGAGGCAGCAGUAGGGAAUCUUCCGCAAUGGGCGAAAGCCUGACGGAGCAACGCCGCGUGAGUGAUGAAGGUCUUCGGAUCGUAAAACUCUGUUAUUAGGGAAGAACAAAUGUGUAAGUAACUAUGCACGUCUUGACGGUACCUAAUCAGAAAGCCACGGCUAACUACGUG
rnacentral:rRNA from 1 species